CGCACAUUGCGCCCUUUGGUAUUCCUUAGGGCAUGCCUGUUCGAGCGUCAUUUCAAAAUUCAAGCUCAGCUUGGUGAUGGGCGUCUGUCCCGCCUCCGCGCGCGGACUCGCCUCAAAAGUAGUUGGCAGCUCCCUUAUCGGCACUGAACGCAGCAAAUUUGCGGGACGCACCGAAGAAAGGGGCUUACCAGUAAGCAAACCACCCCAGAUUGACCUCGGAUCAGGUAGGGAUACCCGCUGAACUUAA
rnacentral:misc_RNA from 1 species